AUGUCGUCGCAGGGUGGUUUGGUUUUGAGGGGCUUGGGGCGGUGGAUGUAUGUUAGCUAUGCGUCUGCCGACCCAGCACAAUCUGCAUUCCCUCCCAACGGGAGCAUCCAUUUAACUGUUCCUUUCUUUUCGUAUGCGGCACAAGGUUGCCCAUCUUUCCAGCCGGCACGGCGUCGGCGUGCUCCAAGCAGGAUGAGAUCAGCGAAGGGCGCGGGCAGGCGGAGAGGUGGGGUGCCGGCCUCUUCUGUGGCUGCCCACGACAGUUGCGGCGCCGCCGCCGGCGAGUGCACUGGCGAGAGCGCCCCAGCGGAGUCGGGGGAGUCGGCGGUAAAGCCUGAUCCGAAGUCGACCGGCUGGAUUAGAAGGGUACGUGUGGGCGCAAAUCCAAUUGAGCGGCCACCCUGCCCAGGCAGGGUGGGAGCGCUUGAGAAGACUAUCAGGGGCUUUGUGGACAGGGAGUGGGACGAACAUGGCUUCGGCAUUAGAUACGGGAAAAACAGGCUCAAUCCUGAUAGAAGGAAGACCAUGCAGGAGAUUGUAUGUGGAUGCUCGGGGAAGCCUCUCCGUGAGAAUACAAGAUCCUGUAGGUGUGAGUGUCCAGCAAUGAUUAGGCUGUUGAGGGCAUCAGAUAAUGGGUAUCCAGAUUUACACCUGACGGAUAAAGCUUAUACUGGAAGCAUCUGGCUGCUGGGCUGA
rnacentral:rRNA from 1 species